rnacentral:miRNA from 1 species
UGGCAGUGUUGAAAGACGUC